GAUGAAGAACGCAGCAAAAUGCGAUAAGUAAUGUGAAUUGCAGAAUUCAGUGAAUCAUCGAAUCUUUGAACGCACAUUGCGCCCGCUGGUAUUCCGGCGGGCAUGCCUGUUCGAGCGUCAUUUCAACCCUCAAGCCCCCGGGUUUGGUGUUGGGGAUCGGCUCUGCCUUACGGCGGUGCCGCCCCCGAAAUACAUUGGCGGUCUCGCUGCAGCCUCCAUUGCGUAGUAGCUAACACCUCGCAACUGGAACGCGGCGCGGCCAUGCCGUAAAACCCCAACUUCUGACUGUUGACCUCGGAUCAGGUAGGAAUACCCGCUGAACUUAAGCAUAUCAAUAAGCGGAGGA
rnacentral:misc_RNA from 1 species